GAGGCGAGGGGAUAUGACGUCACGUCGAGGUCCCCUUUAAACAAAGUGCUCCACCUGUCGUCCAGGCCUCUUCCUCAGACGUUUCUCCAAAGAAAAUCCAGAAACUGGCUAUUCUGGACUCCUUCCUUCCCAC